ensembl:rRNA 5S_rRNA 5S ribosomal RNA
GUCUAUAGUAAUACCAUCCUGAACACACAAUCAAGUCUGAUCUCAGAAGCUAAGCAGGGUCGGGCCUGGUUAGCACUAGGAUGGGAGAGUGCCUGGGAACACUGGGUGCUAUAGGCU